rnacentral:rRNA from 1 species
GACGAACGCUGGCGGCGUGCUUAACACAUGCAAGUCGAACGGAAAGGCCCUGCUUUUGUGGGGUGCUCGAGUGGCGAACGGGUGAGUAACACGUGAGUAACCUGCCCUUGACUUUGGGAUAACUUCAGGAAACUGGGGCUAAUACCGGAUAGGAGCUCCUGCUGCAUGGUGGGGGUUGGAAAGUUUCGGCGGUUGGGGAUGGACUCGCGGCUUAUCAGCUUGUUGGUGGGGUAGUGGCUUACCAAGGCUUUGACGGGUAGCCGGCCUGAGAGGGUGACCGGCCACAUUGGGACUGCGAUACGGCCCAGACUCCUACGGGAGGCAGCAGUGGGGAAUAUUACAAAAUGGGCGGAAGCCUGAUGCAACAACGCCGCGUGCGGGAUGACGGCCUUCGGGUUGUAAACCGCUUUCGCCUGUGACGAAGCGUGAGUGACGGUAAUGGGUAAAGAAGCACCGGCUAACUACGUG